GGACCUGACUGCUAUCGGAUUGAUACUAAGCCAUGCGAGUCAUUGUAGUAAUACAAGGCAGACGGCUCAGUAACGCGUAGUCAACCUACCCUAUGGACGGGAAUAGCCUCGGGAAACUGAGAAUAAUGCCCGAUAGAACAUUAUACCUGGAAUGGUUUAUGUUCCAAAUGAUUUAUCGCCGUAGGAUGGGACUGCGGCCUAUCAGUUUGUUGGUGAGGUAAUGGCCCACCAAGACUAUUACAGGUACGGGCUCUGAGAGGAGUGGCCCGGAGAUGGGUACUGAGACACGGACCCAGGCCCUAUGGGGCGCAGCAGGCGAGAAAACUUUGCAAUGUGCGAAAGCACGACAAGGUUAAUCCGAGUGGUUUCUGCUAAAGAGACCUUUUGUCGGUCCUAGAAACACCAAUGAAUAAGGGGUGGGCAAGUUCUGGUGU
rnacentral:rRNA from 1 species